rnacentral:misc_RNA from 1 species
GAUGAAGAACGUAGUGAAAUGCGAUAAGUAAUGUGAAUUGCAGAAUUCAGUGAAUCAUCGAAUCUUUGAACGCACAUUGCGCCCCCUGGUAUUCCGGGGGGCAUGCCUGUCCGAGCGUCAUUACAACCCUCAAGCUCAGCUUGGUGUUGGGCCCCGCCGCCCCGGCGGGCCCUAAAGUCAGUGGCGGUGCCGUCCGGCUCCGAGCGUAGUAAUUCUUCUCGCUCUGGAGGUCCGGUCGUGUGCUCGCCAGCAACCCCCAAUUUUUUUCAGGUUGACCUCGGAUCAGGUAGCGAUACCCGCUGAACUUAAGCAUAUCAAUAAGCGGAGGA